GUAGAGUAAUGUUGAGCAUUCAGUAACUUGAUAGCAAACUACAAAAGGCAUACAAAUAUUUCUAAAACCCUACUACUGAAGCAAAGGGCGCAAACACUGAGUUCUUUUUAGCAGAAAUCAUGCUGCCUACGAUAUCAGAUUUAGCUGAAGCAGUCAUAGGUAUUCAUUGCCACAGCAAAAAAUAAUCCAAAAUGAUUUGCACAUUUUAACAGUUACAGAUGAAAGCUCUAACAUUAACACAGCUAAAAUUCCCUGCAGAAACCGAGGUAUAUAUAUUCCUAUGCUCAUAAAAUUUGAUCCUACGGAAAGGCUCAUCAUAUAUAGAAGACCAAAUAGAGCUUCACAUAUAGUCAGACACAUCUCAAUGCACUCCAGUAUUUUGGCACAAGGAAGAUCAUCUACUUGUUAUCUUUUGGUUUGAUUGCAUAUAGAAACAAUCGUUUUAAUAUAACGAGCCAGUUGGUUUACCAACUGAACUUUCUCCACACUACAUAGAAAUGAUGAUAAUUUAAGAAAAUGGGACCAGAGUGAAGACAGGAUAAGAUAACAACAUCAUAGUAGCAAAAGAGCUAGAGUGACCACAUAAACAGUAGAAGGUAGUGCUCUAAAUCGUUGAUGUGGUAAGAAAUAACUCCAAAACAAGGGUGCUAUUGUCAUCAGUGGGUUAGGCAGUUUUGUCAUAGGCUACAAGAUACUAGGGACACUGAACCCUUUUUGCGUCACUACAACUUACAAAACAGAAAUAGCCCUUAGCUUGCUUUCAAAUAAAAAAACCACGUCGCGAUGCCCCCACACAGUCCAGGGCCGCACCUAACGUCGCACCCAUCUACAAGCGAAGGAAAAAAAACCUCCAAAAAUUAACCAACGAAAAUUAACCAGCGAAAAAAAACCCUAAACCAAUCGCACGCACGACUCUCCUGCCCUCCACUCUCGAUCCCCUCCCGUCGCCGCCGCCCUCGGCUCUCGAUCCCCUCGAGUAAGCUGCGUCGCCGUCGCUCUCGAUUCCCUCGAGAUCGUUGCGCCGCCAUCCCCUCAAGAUCCCCAGAUCUCACACCGCCACCGCCGGUGCCUCCUCCUCUGGCGACGCGGCGAACGAGAGCAGGGCCGCAGCAGGGGUGGCUGCCUCGUGCCCCCGAUGUCCAGGAAUCCGUUUUCGCCCUGGAUGUGAGUCGUGUACCGGCGACUCUGGCGGUCCGACCUCGUGCGCGUCGUCCUCACCAUCAACCCCAAGUCUUUCCUCCAGUGGACCAUUGAACUCCACAACCAAUUUCUCUUCGACGCUGUCAUGCAGGUUCGAGUCCACACAGUGAGGAGAUUGAUUCAUGCGUGCUUGUUUCAGUCCAGAUCUCUAAAUAAAUGUUCCGAACGAGGAAGCUAUGGGAGAUUGGCAGUGUCAAGCAUGUGUUUCCUUACGUCUUCUUCUGUACUCCAGCUGGGUUGUAGUUUUUGAUACUACUCCUACAGGGCAUACUUUAGGGUUGCUGCAGUUCCGAUCAACACUUGAGAAGAAAAAUGAUGCGAGUAAAGAAUAGCUUCAGUGGUCUAUUGAAUCAGGUGUUCCUUAAUCUUGAUAAAUUCCAAUCUAUUGGGAAGCUAUGAUUGUUUUCAUGUGUAUGCCCACCGCCGUGUUGCUUUUAUUCUGAUUUUAACAUAUUAUGCAUCUGUUCAUUCCAACAUGACAAUACACUGUAUAAUUUACGAAAGAAGAUGGGCAUGAUAGUCUAUUCUUGGUUCAUUAGAACAUGGCCUACCAAUAUGUUGAGGAAUUAACGGCAUCCUGAAUAAAAGAUGAUUCCUUAAUUGUUUGAUUUGUUGAGUCUUACAUAUAAAUAGAUACUGUGAUCCAUGGAAUUCUUCCAUUGUUUGUAUUGAAGUUAAAUGACAAUCUGCUCUUCAUAUAUACUUUCAAUAUAGUAGAAUAUUCAUUUGGGAUAAAUUGACUUGUUCUAUUCGAAAGUGCUGCACCGGCACUAAUAAACAAAUCCAAUCUCAUGUCAUCUAUUUAUUCUGACAAUGGUGCCGUGUAGACUAGGAAUUAGAAAAAAAACAAGUACUAGGAUACAUUGCAAACUAUGGAAAACGAAAGAAACCUACUUGAAAAGGCCUCAGCAGUUCUACGCAUGAGUCGGGUAAUGCAGCAUUAUAGGAUGAUCCAUUCAUAUGCAUACAAAGGCUUCAAUUUUGAUUUCCAUUCAGUUUCAUCCGAAUAUUGAUUUUUCUUUAGUUUAGAUCAGCUACGAUUUAGGUACUACAGUUGUAUAGGAUGAUCCACUGCCAUUCAUACAGAGGUUCCAGUCUUGAAUAUGUUUCAGUUGAAUUCAGUUUUUCGAGUCAGCCCAUCUCAGCUCUAUGUGACAUUUAUAAGAUGACUCCAUAAAAUUCACAAAAGACGGCUGGAGGACCCUGACUCGGAGGAGACGACAGAGUUCAUGGCGAGCGAGGCGGACUUGGCCGAGUCCAUGCUUUCCUGGUUAGGGAGAGCCUCCAACACAAGGUCAUGUGUUGCUUCUCUCCUCUAUUUGGAUUUUAUUAAUUGGUGUCUUUUUUACUGAUUCCUUCGCUAUUGCUGUGCGCUCCUAGGUUUAGUCCAUGUCUCUCUAGAUUACUUCUAUUUCGUACGGAUGGUCUUGAGUUUGCACAAUUCCGGGAUGUCAGCUCGCCGCACAUGUGGUACUUAUUGUUAAUAGUUAUAGAAUUCCCUAGGUGUUCUUUGUUAUUUUUGUGCACAGAAGUUGUUUGUGUCUUUGUCCGAGCCAAUUUCAGUUACAAAUCCCCGAGUUAAACUACAUGUGGCUAACAACAUUGCAGAUGAAGCUCUCGUCUUUGACUAUAAGUUUGACAUGUGCUAAGAGUUUUUCGGUGGUUGAUAUCCUGCACCUCAAACACAGACACCCCGUGUCGCGUCUCCCUCGUGCUCCUCCAGAUCCGAAACGGCUCCACAGGUUCCCCGCAAAUCGCCGCAGCCCUUCUUACCAC